rnacentral:tRNA from 1 species
GGCCUCAUAGUUUAAUGGAUAAAACGGAAGUUUCCUAAACUUUUGAUCCAGGUUCGAUUCCCGGUGAGGCUA